rnacentral:lncRNA from 1 species
GGUCAACUGAACAUUUUGGUCAUGUUGACUUAUUUGUAGAUGUUACUUUGAUGAACAUUAUUGCUGUUUACAGUUUAUCUCUAUUUAUAAUAAUUUUCAAGAUAAUAACCAAAAACCGACAAAAUUUCCUUAAAAUUACCAAUUCAGGGGCAGCAACCCAACAACCAGUUGUCCAAUUCAUCUGAAAAUUUCAGGGCAGAUAG